rnacentral:rRNA from 1 species
GGUCACCACGGUAGGAUUCAUGACUGGGGUGAAGUCGUAACAAGGUAGCCGUAUCGGAAGGUGCGGCUGGAUCACCUCCUUUCC